rnacentral:rRNA from 1 species
CAAUAGCGUAUAUUAAAGUUGUUGCAGUUAAAAAGCUCGUAGUUGGAUUUGUGGUUGUCGUGAACGGUCCGACAUUCGUGUUGGUACUUGUUGACGUCGCCAUCCUUGGGUGGAGCCUGUGUGGCAUUAGGUUGUCGCGCAGGGGAUGCCCAUCGUUUACUGUGAGAAAAUUAGAGUGUUCAAAGCAGGCUUAUGCCGUUGAAUAUAUUAGCAUGGAAUAAUAAGAUAGGACCUUGGUACUAUUUUGUUGGUUUGCGCACCAAGGUAAUGAUUAAUAGGGACAGUUGGGGGUAUUCGUAUUCCAUUGUCAGAGGUGAAAUUCUUGGAUUUUUGGAAGACGAACUACUGCGAAAGCAUUUACCAAGGAUGUUUUCAUUAA